GGGGAUUUAGCUCAGUGGUAGAGCGCUUGCCUAGCAGGCGCUAGGCCCUGGGUUCAGUCCCCA
rnacentral:tRNA from 1 species